CUUUGGAGCAACGACCAGAGAAGCUUCCCAAGGGUUACCUACCUUCAACCAGAGCAUCCUCCAUCAAAUUUUCACCAUAAAAACUACUCCAAGUUUCAUUGAAACCAUGACAUCGGAAUGUUGCCCUCACUGCAAAACCACCAUAUCGGGGCCUCCCAUAUGCCCAAUGGCUAAGAGAUAUGACCUAGAAUGGUUCACUUUAACAAAAGCCGAACGGAAUUGGCCAUUGUUUGUGGAGAAGAAAGUGGACAAUGACAAGCAUGUGGUAUGGAUGGAUUUUUCAAGGUUCAGGUUCUAAGCAUGGUUUGCUGCUUUGGGUUAGGCCUCUAUCCUAUCACUUGGUGUCAAGUUUUUCCCUUACUUGGUGAAGCACUUAUUUUGUAAUCUGAGGGCGGAGCACCUGGAGAAUGAUGGGUUCCGCAUCACAAGCUUUGUGAAGAGAGUCAACAUAUCCUUCACCAUAGCAGAGCUCGUAGAGUUUCUAGGAAUUUUCAAUGCUGCGGAGUGUGUGUAUUGUGCUGCAAGGACUGAAGUGGGUCUGUUCCUCUAUCAAUUGGAAAUGCAAGAGAUGUAUAGAGUGCUUAUGGGCAGCAAUGAGGGUUACCCACAGACACCACUCUUUUUACCUUCCCCUAGAGUUAUUUAUGAAUCAUCCAAUUCAACACUCUGUCCACCGGAGGACACUACAAUGAGGCAUCAGUCCUGUAAGCCUAUGUCACUUUAUGCUUGUGCACAGGGUUUUAGAUCUUCCUACCCUACUUGUUGAUGAGGAAUAUAGCGCAUCAAGCCGACAAUCCUGAAGAAGGAAAAUUGUUCUAUGGGAGACUGCUCACCAAGAUCUUCAUCCACUUUCGGGUGGCCUUAACUAGAGAGGUACAAGGAGGUUAGGGUUCAAUGCCCUUUGAUGGCAAGUCCCUAAGAAAUAUGAACUUGCAACCCUCAGAUGGUAGUGGUGACAAGGUAGAGGGUAUGGAGAUGGAAAAGAAUGUCGAGGACUUGCCCUAGAAUGUUAAUAUUCCACCACCACCUCCCCCUCCUAGGGAUCCAUCACCACGGAGGUAUCUACCCCCUCCACCAAUGCACUAUGGUGGUGCUUCAUUUGUACGGCCCUCAAGGGAACAUAGCUAGGCUAGUGUGUUUGACCGUCUAGACUCGAUGACGAAGAGCAUGGGAAGAGGGUUCUUGUAAUUCAAUGAGUGAUUUGGGACUCUAGAUGGAUGAAUGGCAUUCAUCGAGGAGCAGAUAAAGACGAGGACCCUCUACUUUUAGAAUUCCAUCUGAGCCAACACCACCUCCAUCUCUGAUAGAGUGAGACUACAAUUCUAACUCUUGGAUCCUCUUGCUUUCCUGUAUAGAGGUUUAUAUUUUUAGUAUCGUUGUUCUAGGUUUAUGCACUUUUGUUUAGUUUAUGUUUCUUUUUUAUCUUUGUUGUCUUUUAUUUCUUUCAGUUAUUUCCUUUCUAAUAAUUAAUGUAAAAUCUCAUAUGUACGUAGAAGAUUAUCAAUGGAAUUGGCUAUUACACCUA